CAAAUGUAUCUAUUCAAUAAAACACUGAUCCUUUUUUGGUUUGAAUCCUUAAUUUUUUUGUAGAUUUUGAAUUUGACGGAAAACCCUAAGUUUUAUUGGAUUAGACAGGCUUUUCACUGGAAAAUAUAUUUGCUUUAAAUUUUUUUACUUAUAACCUUCUUUUAUGGUGAGCUAUGCUUGACAUUCAUGUACUUGGGUCUAUCUCAGUUUUUCUUACACUUUCUUGUUAGAAUUUGUGCUCAUUGCUCGCUUAGAUGAUGCGUUCUGUGUUUCAUCUAUCUGAAUUCGUUAGAUUGGCUCUCGUGUUCUAGUCAUAUUUAGAUAAUUGCUUCGCAUUGUUGUUUUGGUUGUUGAGUUUUCUCUUUAAUUAUUUGUUCUAAUCAGUUACUGCAGGUAAUAUCAUGAAGGAUCUUCUACAAGAAUUUCGUACAUGGGACACAUUUGAGGAUAUGGAAAAGGGUUUCUGUGGUUAUCUCAGCCAACUGCCAGAACUGCCACAAAAAACGGAAGUGCGUGAUCAAGAAAAAUUAAUCAAGGAUAUGAAGACACUACACGCUAUUCUCAAAUUCAUGUUCGAAGCUAUCAAUAAAGAAUACUAUGAUGCUGAAUUGAAUUAAUUGACAAGCAUCCUUACGUUGUUGAUCUGCCAUGCUUCGAAGAACUAUUUUCUUACAAACAAAAAUCAAGUUUCGAACUGUACCGAGAAGUAGUAGCUGAGAACAAACGCAGGAUGAUGUUUUACAAAGUUGAUGAACAGCGUGUUAGGGAUUUGCAAGCAAAACUACAAGAGGCUGAGGACAAGUGUACACCGCUAUUUAGACAGCUGAAACAACUUGGCGCGGUGAGAGGCUGUGUGAAGUGUUCCAUCCGUUCUCUGGAAUUGGAUCUCGACAGCAGGAGUAAGCCAUCAUUUGGCUAUGCCGAGCAAAUUGAAUUCAUGCGUAAAACUCUUGGUAUCUAGCCUUUUCUUUUGUUGGGAUCUUUAUUGCCACAUCUCAAGCUAGCCGGAGAAAUAUGUGCAUGAAUAGUUGGUGAUAAGUUUGAUCUUUAAGUUGGAAAGAUGUGUUGGAGCUAUUGCUCGGUUAAGGCCUUGUCAGGUCAGUUGCUCGUUUCAGAGAAAAGAAGGAAAGCUACAGUUCAACUCAUCUUUUCCCCAUGGCGGCGACAUUCCCUCAAAUGCAAGUAAGAAGCAGUUCUUUCUAUUAAAAGACAACCGAGUGAAGAGAUACUAUGAGAAUAAUGAGAAAAUCUCAAUCAUUACAACUUACUUGUUUUCCAAGAAGAGUAUUGCAUAUAAAAAUUGUGAAGAUUUAGUCAUCCACUGUGCUCAUGUCAGAAAAUCUAUCUCUUGCAACAUUGUUAUUAACGGUAGAUUCAUACAAGUGGCAAUUUAUCUCAGACUGCCUAAAGCACUAUUUACAUGCAAAGAUUGUGUUUAUAACAACCCUCUGGAAGAUCAAGCUUGCUACAACACCCUCAGUAGAAAGAAACACAAAGCUUUUAAAAAAAACUUUCAGCACUGAUAAAGAUCAAAAUUUUCAUCUCUGGUUUACUCAUUUCAUCAAAAAAAUUCUGAUAUUCCAACAGACAAUUAUAUUGCUCAUCUCAUUAGUUUUCUAGAAGAUCAAUACAACCCUCUCACGGUUUCUUUCAGAUACUAUAUUGAAUUCCUUCGUAC